rnacentral:rRNA from 1 species
ACGGAAGGCAGCAGUGAGGAAUAUUGGUCAAUGGGCGCAAGCCUGAACCAGCCAUGCCGCGUGCAGGAAUAAGGCCCUAUGGGUCGUAAACUGCUUUUGCUGGGGAGCAAUAAGGUCUACGUGUAGGCUGAUGAGAGUACCCAGCGAAUAAGCAUCGGCUAACUCCGUGCCAGCAGCCGCGGUAAUACGGAGGAUGCAAGCGUUAUCCGGAUUUAUUGGGUUUAAAGGGAGCGUAGGCCGUGCUUUAAGCGUGUUGUGAAAUGUAGGCGCCCAACGUCUGCACUGCAGCGCGAACUGGAGCACUUGAGUACGCAGGAAGUAGGCGGAAUUCGUCGUGUAGCGGUGAAAUGCUUAGAUAUGACGAAGAACUCCGAUUGGGAAGCCAGCUUACUGUAGCGCCACUGACGCUGAUGCUCGAAAGCGUGGGUAUCGAACAGGAUUAGAUACCCUGGUA